GUUUGAUCAUGGCUCAGAUUGAACGCUGGCGGCAGGCCUAACACAUGCAAGUCGAGCGGAAACGAGUUAUCUGAACCUUCGGGGAACGAUAACGGCGUCGAGCGGCGGACGGGUGAGUAAUGCCUAGGAAAUUGCCCUGAUGUGGGGGAUAACCAUUGGAAACGAUGGCUAAUACCGCAUAACGCCUACGGGCCAAAGAGGGGGACCUUCGGGCCCCUCGCGUCAGGAUAUGCCUAGGUGGGAUUAGCUAGUUGGUGAGGUAAGGGCUCACCAAGGCGACGAUCCCUAGCUGGUCUGAGAGGAUGAUCGGCCACACUGGAACUGAGACACGGUCCAGACUCCUACGGGAGGCAGCAGUGGGGAAUAUUGCACAAUGGGCGCAAGCCUGAUGCAGCCAUGCCGCGUGUGUGAAGG
rnacentral:rRNA from 1 species